rnacentral:lncRNA from 1 species
UGCCAAUCCAUUGAGAGUGUUCAGCAAAAUCUUCUUCUCCUUAAGUAUUGAAUUUUUAUUGCAUUUAUUGUGCUCAUUUAAGGGGUUGUUGUGCUGAAAUUUCUAUACACUGUGUUCUUGCUAUUAUAUUUUGAGUUUUGAGUUUUGGGGGUUUCAAAACUCGGAUAGGUUGAUCCGAAUCUGAAAUCGGAGUGUUGUGAGUUGGCUUGUAUUUGAAAAAUAAGUAUUCUUACUUGGAUAGCA